CUACGGGUCGCUGCAGUGGGGAAUAUUGGGCAAUGGGCGAAAGCCUGACCCAGCAACGCCGCGUGAAGGAAGAAGGUUUUCGGAUCGUAAACUUCUAUCCCAGGUGAAGAUAAUGACGGUAGCCUGGAAGGAAGCCCCGGCUAACUACGUGCCAGCAGCCGCGGUAAUACGUAGGGGGCAAGCGUUGUCCGGAAUGAUUGGGCGUAAAGGGCGCGUAGGCGGCCUUCUAAGUCCGAUGGGAAAGUCCUGCUUUUAAGGUGGGAAUUGCAUUGGAAACUGGAGGGCUUGAGUGCAGGAGAGGUGAGUGGAAUUCCCGGUGUAGCGGUGAAAUGCGUAGAGAUCGGGAGGAACACCAGUGGCGAAGGCGACUUACUGGACUGUAACUGACGCUGAGGCGCGAAAGUGUGGGGAGCAAACAGGAUUAGAUACCCCUGUAGUC
rnacentral:rRNA from 1 species